GGAUAUCGUUUAUUUCGGUCAGCACGAUCAUCCCAAGCCGCAAUCCAACAUUCCACUGACAGUAGGUUUUGUUUUGUCAGUUGAAGAAAGGGCAGAUCAAUGCCCUUUGUCGCCUGUUGAGAAAGGUAUAUGAUAGUUUUUACUUAUCAAUUUCCUGCUAAAAUAUUAUGCCUUGAUGAUAUCGUGAUAUUUUCUUGCAACAAAUUUCAUAAUGUAGCAGGCAGCAAGGUACGGCCUCCAAUCAAUUCCGUGAAUGCAUCGCAGAUGUCAACAGUAACAUCCAGUGAGGAUGUGAAAGCUGUGCCACCUGA
rnacentral:lncRNA from 1 species